GCGAAACGGGCUAAACUGCCUGUCACGCAGGAGGUCGCGGGUUCGAGUCCCGUCGUUCGCGCCA
rnacentral:tRNA from 1 species